UACGGAGGGUGCAAGCGUUAUCCGGAUUUACUGGGUUUAAAGGGUGCGUAGGUGGGUAGGUAAGUCAGUGGUGAAAUCUUCGAGCUUAACUCGGAAACUGCCAUUGAUACUAUUUAUCUUGAAUACUCUGGAGGUAAGCGGAAUAUGUCAUGUAGCGGUGAAAUGCUUAGAUAUGACAUAGAACACCAAUUGCGAAGGCAGCUUACUACAUAGUUAUUGACACUGAGGCACGAAAGCGUGGGGGAGUCAAACAGG
rnacentral:rRNA from 1 species